UACGUAGGGAGCAAGCGUUGUCCGGAAUCAUUGGGCGUAAAGCGCGCGUAGGUGGCCCAGUAAGUCCGUUCUGAAAGUCACAGGCUCAACCUGUGAAAGCGGAUGGAUACUGCUGGGCUAGAGUCCGGAAGAGGCGAGUGGAAUUCCUGGUGUAGCGGUGGAAUGCGCAGAUAUCAGGAGGAACACCAACGGCGAAGGCAGCUCGCUGGGACGGUACUGACACUAAGGCGCGAAAGCGUGGGGAGCAAACAGG
rnacentral:rRNA from 1 species